AGUGAACGCUGGCGGUAGGCCUAACACAUGCAAGUCGAACGGCAGCACAGUAAGAGCUUGCUCUUACGGGUGGCGAGUGGCGGACGGGUGAGGAAUACAUCGGAAUCUACUUUUUCGUGGGGGAUAACGUAGGGAAACUUACGCUAAUACCGCAUACGACCUACGGGUGAAAGCAUGGGAUCUUCGGACCUUGCGCGAUUGAAUGAGCCGAUGUCGGAUUAGCUAGUUGGCGGGGUAAAGGCCCACCAAGGCGACGAUCCGUAGCUGGUCUGAGAGGAUGAACAGCCACACUAGAACUGAGACACGGUCCAGACUCCUACGGGAGGCAGCUGUGGGGAAUAUUGGACAAUGGGCGGAAGCCUGAUCCAUCCAUACCGCGUGGGUGAAGGAGGCCUUCGGGUUGUAAGGCCCUUUUGUUGGGAAAGAAAAGCAGCAGGUUAAUAACCCGCUGUUCUGACGGUACCCAAAGAAUAAGCACCGGCUAACUUCGUG
rnacentral:rRNA from 1 species